CCGCGGUAAUACCAGCUCCCCGAGUGGUUGGGACGAUUAUUGGGCCUAAAGCAUCCGUAGCCUGUUUCGUAGGUCUCAUGUUAAAUCCAUUCGCUCAACGAAUGGUCUGCAUGAGAUACCGCAUUACUAGGAGGCGGGAGACGUGAACGGUAUUCCAUGGGUAGGGGUAAAAUCCUCUGAACCAUGGAAGACCACCAGUGGCGAAGGCGGUUCACGAGAACGCGCUCGACGGUGAGGGAUGAAAGCUGGGGUAGCGAACCGGAUUAGAUACCCGGGUAGUCCCAGCUGUAAACGAUGCAAGCUAGGUGAUGGAUUAGCCAUGUGUUAAUCCAGUGCCGCAGGGAAGCCGUUAAGCUUGCCGCCUGGGGAGUACGGUCGCAAGGCUGAAACUUAAAGGAA
rnacentral:rRNA from 1 species